AGAGUUUGAUCCUGGCUCAGGAUGAACGCUAGCGAUAGGCUUAACACAUGCAAGUCGAGGGGCAGCAUGAUCUUAGCUUGCUAAGGUUGAUGGCGACCGGCGCACGGGUGCGUAACGCGUAUGCAACUUGCCUUACAGAGGGGGAUAACCCGUUGAAAGACGGACUAAAACCGCAUACACUUGUAUUAUUGCAUGAUAUUACAAGGAAAUAUUUAUAGCUGUAAGAUAGGCAUGCGUCCCAUUAGCUUGUUGGUGAGGUAACGGCUCACCAAGGCGACGAUGGGUAGGGGAACUGAGAGGUUUAUCCCCCACACUGGUACUGAGACACGGACCAGACUCCUACGGGAGGCAGCAGUGAGGAAUAUUGGUCAAUGGGCGAGAGCCUGAACCAGCCAAGUCGCGUGAAGGAUGACUGUCUUAUGGAUUGUAAACUUCUUUUAUACGGGAAUAACAAGAGUCACGUGUGGCUCCCUGCAUGUACCGUAUGAAUAAGCAUCGGCUAACUCCGUGCCAGCAGCCGCGGUAAUACGGAGGAUGCGAGCGUUAUCCGGAUUUAUUGGGUUUAAAGGGUGCGUAGGCGGCCUGUUAAGUCAGCGGUGAAAUCUAGGAGCUUAACUCCUAAAUUGCCAUUGAUACUGGCGGGCUUGAGUGUAGAUGAGGUAGGCGGAAUGCGUGGUGUAGCGGUGGAAUGCAUAGAUAUCACGCAGAACUCCGAUUGCGAAGGCAGCUUACUAAGGUACAACUGACGCUGAAGCACGAAAGCGUGGGUAUCAAACAGGAUUAGAUACCCUGGUAGUCCACGCAGUAAACGAUGAUAACUGGGCGUAUGCGAUAUACAGUAUGCUCCUAAGCGAAAGCGUUAAGUUAUCCACCUGGGGAGUACGCCGGCAACGGUGAAACUCAAAGGAAUUGACGGGGGCCCG
rnacentral:rRNA from 1 species